GGAUGAACGCUGGCGGCGUGCUUAACACAUGCAAGUCGAACGGUGAAGCCAAGCUUGCUUGGUGGAUCAGUGGCGAACGGGUGAGUAACACGUGAGCAACCUGCCCUGGACUCUGGGAUAAGCGCUGGAAACGGUGUCUAAUACUGGAUAUGAGACGUGAUCGCAUGGUCGUGUUUGGAAAGAUUUUUCGGUCUGGGAUGGGCUCGCGGCCUAUCAGCUUGUUGGUGAGGUAAUGGCUCACCAAGGCGUCGACGGGUAGCCGGCCUGAGAGGGUGACCGGCCACACUGGGACUGAGACACGGCCCAGACUCCUACGGGAGGCAGCAGUGGGGAAUAUUGCACAAUGGGCGAAAGCCUGAUGCAGCAACGCCGCGCGAGGGAUGACGGCCUUCGGGUUGUAAACCUCUUUUAGCAGGGAAGAAGCGAAAGUGACGGUACCUGCAGAAAAAGCGCCGGCUAACUACGUGCCAGCAGCCGCGGUAAUACGUAGGGCGCAAGCGUUAUCCGGAAUUAUUGGGCGUAAAGAGCUCGUAGGCGGUUUGUCGCGUCUGCUGUGAAAUCCCGAGGCUCAACCUCGGGCCUGCAGUGGGUACGGGCAGACUAGAGUGCGGUAGGGGAGAUUGGAAUUCCUGGUGUAGCGGUGGAAUGCGCAGAUAUCAGAGGAACACCGAUGGCGAAGGCAGAUCUCUGGGCCGUAACUGACGCUGAGGAGCGAAAGGGUGGGGAGCAAACAGGCUUAGAUACCCUGGUAGUCCACCCCGUAAACGUUGGGAACUAGUUGUGGGGACCAUUCCACGGUUUCCGUGACGCAGCUAACGCAUUAAGUUCCCCGCCUGGGGAGUACGGCCGCAAGGCUAAAACUCAAAGGAAUUGACGGGGACCCGCACAAGCGGCGGAGCAUGCGGAUUAAUUCGAUGCAACGCGAAGAACCUUACCAAGGCUUGACAUAUACGAGAACGGGCCAGAAAUGGUCAACUCUUUGGACACUCGUAAACAGGUGGUGCAUGGUUGUCGUCAGCUCGUGUCGUGAGAUGUUGGGUUAAGUCCCGCAACGAGCGCAACCCUCGUUCUAUGUUGCCAGCACGUAAUGGUGGGAACUCAUGGGAUACUGCCGGGGUCAACUCGGAGGAAGGUGGGGAUGACGUCAAAUCAUCAUGCCCCUUAUGUCUUGGGCUUCACGCAUGCUACAAUGGCCGGUACAAAGGGCUGCAAUACCGUGAGGUGGAGCGAAUCCCAAAAAGCCGGUCCCAGUUCGGAUUGAGGUCUGCAACUCGACCUCAUGAAGUCGGAGUCGCUAGUAAUCGCAGAUCAGCAACGCUGCGGUGAAUACGUUCCCAGGUCUUG
rnacentral:rRNA from 1 species